rnacentral:rRNA from 1 species
UACGAAGGGGGCGAGCGUUGUUCGGACUUACUGGGCGUAAAGGGCGCGUAGGCGGCCGAUCAAGUCAGAUGUGAAAGUCCUGGGCUUAACCUGGGGACUGCAUUUGAUACUGAUUGGCUUGAAUGCAGGAGAGGAUAGCGGAAUUCCCAGUGUAGAGGUGAAAUUCGUAGAUAUUGGGAAGAACACCGGUGGCGAAGGCGGCUAUCUGGACUGUGAUUGACGCUGAGGCGCGAAAGCGUGGGGAGCAAACAGG